ACGAAGUUUUUGAAGCGAUUGUUUGCGUGGAUAAAGGAAUAAGUUUUUUUAUCACAAACUUGUACUUUCUUUGACGCUAUUCAAGGCACAAUAAGACUACCCACAUACAAUAUUUUUGAACAAUUUUAUGUUGUCAAUUAUCACGAUUUAAUUUUAAGAAUCAGUCAAUUUUUUUUUCUGUUUUUUUAAUAAAUAUUUUAAGUUGUCAAUUAUCACGAUUAAUUGUAUUUUAUACAUAAUUUUUAACGAUAGAUUAAUUUCAAGAAUCAAUCGAAUUUUUUAAAAUGUAUUUAUUUUUGAAAUAUUUUAUGUUGUCAAUUAUCAUGAUUUAUAGUAUUUUUACGAUAGAUUAACUUCAAGAAUCAAUGGAAUUUUUUGUAUCUUUUUCAAAACAUAUUUUAUGUUGUCA
rnacentral:lncRNA from 1 species